UAAUACGAAGGAUGCAAGCGUUAUCCGGAAUUAUUGGGUUUAAAGGGUGCGUAGGCGGACCUAUAAGUCAGUGGUGAAAGCCCCAAGCUCAACUUGGGAACUGCCAUUGAUACUGUUGGUCUUGAGUACAGUUGAGGUAGGCGGAAUGUGUCAUGUAGCGGUGAAAUGCUUAGAUAUGACACAGAACACCGAUUGCGAAGGCAGCUUGCUAAGCUGUAACUGACGCUGAUGCACGAAAGCGUGGGUAGCAAACAGGAUUAGAUACCCUGGUAGUCCACGCCCUAAACGAUGAUAACUCGCUGUUGGCGAUACACAGUCAGCGGCCAAGCGAAAGCAUUAAGUUAUCCACCUGGGGAGUACGACCGCAAGGUUG
rnacentral:rRNA from 1 species